rnacentral:rRNA from 1 species
UACGAAGGGGGCUAGCGUUGCUCGGAAUUACUGGGCGUAAAGCGCACGUAGGCGGCUUUCUAAGUCGGGGGUGAAAUCCUGGAGCUCAACUCCAGAACUGCCUUCGAUACUGGAGAGCUUGAGUCCGGGAGAGGUGAGUGGAACUGCGAGUGUAGAGGUGAAAUUCGUAGAUAUCGGGAGGAACACCGGUGGCGAAGGCGGCCUGCUGGACAGCACCUGACACUGAGACGCGAAAGCGUGGGUAGCAAACAGG